CCUACGGGUGGCAGCAGUGGGGAAUAUUGCACAAUGGGCGAAACCCUGAUGCAGCGACGCCGCGUGAGGGAAGAAGUAAUUCGUUUUGUAAAGCUCUAUCAGCAGGGAAGAAAAUGAUGGCACUUGCGUAAUAAGCACCCGCUAACUACUUGGCAGCAGCCGCGGUAAUACGUCGGGGGCAGGCGUCAUCCGGAUUUACUGGGUGUAAUGGGGGAGUAGUCGGCAGUGCAAGUCAGGAGUGAAAGGCGGGGGCUCAACCCCCGGACUGCACUGGAAACUAUACGGCUGGAGUACAGGAGAGGAAAGUGGAAGUCCUAGUGUAGCGGUGAAAUGCGUAGAUAUUAGGAAGAACACCAGUGGCGAAGGCGGCUUACUGGACUGAAACUGACGUUGAGGCACGAAAGCGUGGGGAGCGAACAGGAUUAGAUACCCUGGUAGUC
rnacentral:rRNA from 1 species